rnacentral:rRNA from 1 species
GAUGAACGCUGACAGAAUGCUUAACACAUGCAAGUCGAUGGGGAAGUGGUGCUUGCACCAUGGCAACCAUGGCGGACGGGUGAGUAACGCGUAAGGGACUUACCUGCAGGACUGGGAUAACAGGGGGAAACUCCUGACAAGACCUGAUAAUGUCAUGGAGCUGCAUGGCUUUAUGAUGAAAGGAGACGCCUGCGGAGAGCCUUGCGUCCUAUUAGCUAGUUGGUGAGGUAAUGGCUCACCAAGGCGAAGAUAGGUAGCCGGCCUGAGAGGGUGGACGGCCACAAGGGGACUGAGAUACGGCCCUUACUCCUACGGGAGGCAGCAGUGGGGAAUAUUGGACAAUGGGGGCAACCCUGAUCCAGCACUUCUGUGUGCACGAAGAAGGUUUUCGGAUUGUAAAGUGCCUUCAGAAGGGAAGAAGUAAGUGACGGUACCUGCAGAAGAAGCGACGGCUAAAUACGUG